rnacentral:rRNA from 1 species
GAUUAAGUUAUUAAGGGCGCACGGUGGAUGCCUUGGCACUAGAAGCCGAUGAAGGACGUUACUAACGACGAUAUGCUUUGGGGAGCUGUAAGUAAGCUUUGAUCCAGAGAUUUCCGAAUGGGGAAACCCAGCAUGAGUUAUGUCAUGUUAUCGAUAUGUGAAUACAUAGCAUAUCAGAAGGCACACCCGGAGAACUGAAACAUCUUAGUACCCGGAGGAAGAGAAAGAAAAUUCGAUUCCCUUAGUAGCGGCGAGCGAAAC